GCUUACGACCACACCGGCCUGAGUACGCCUGAUCUCGUCUGAUCUCGGAAGCUAAGCAGGGUCGGGCCUGGUUAGUACUUGGAUGGGAGACUUCCUGGGAAUACCAGGUGCUGUAAGCC
ensembl:rRNA 5S_rRNA 5S ribosomal RNA